CUCACUCAGCCCAUCCAGAGCUGUAGGAGCUGAGCAAGGACUGUGGGCUCAUCUGCUACGACGCCUCACGGAAGAGAUAAAGACAGAAGGCUCCGAGAGAGGCAGCGACACCUCGCCUGAGGUCCCCUGCCUGUCUCUCUUCACCACAACAGUCACAGUGUUGACAAAUGAAGAUACUGAGGUACAGGGAAACUGCUCCAGUCCUUCCAGUCCGGAGCCACCUGAUCUGGGCCCCAAAUCCCUGUCCUGCUGGGAUGCCCCAAGGUGGCGGUGAAGCUAUCUCUGGCAGCCCAGAGCCCUGCCUGGCACACUGGCGCAGGGCAAAAGCAUGGAUGACAUGACAGCCUGAAAGCUCCUAAGGAGCAGAACUGGGCUGAGCUACUAGCCUGUUUCCUCACCCAGUUCUGGAGGCUGCACAGAGCUGGGAGGGACCCAUUUCCGGAGAGCAGCUCUCCCUUGGGUGUGGGCUCAUGUGUACCCAGGUCCCUAGUUGGGCCCUGCUUGUUUCUGAGACAGCCUGAGCCCCAAGCAGGGGAGGGAGUGUGGCCUGUGGGAAGGGAAAGCUUAGCUGAGUCCCAGUGCUGUGGCCAACACACCGAGUGCCCUGAAUCGUACCUCACCCCUCUGUGCCUCAGUUUCCUUGCCCAUAUAAGGGGCAAGACAGCAAAGCCUAAGGUCCCUUCCAGUGACGACAUGCUAUGAUCUGGGUGGGCAGUGGGGGAGGGGCUCUCCUGUCUUUUCCCCUUCCUUGCUUUGCUGUCUUUCUGUGGCAUCUGCUUAUCUCUCCAGCUCUCCAGGUAUCUCAGUCUCAAGUCUGUGGCUUUGUUUCUAUCCUUUGCCCGCGUAUUCUCCUACCUGCCUCUUCUUUUUCUGGGUCUGCGUGUCUACCUCUGGUUUUGCCUCCUCGGUCACACACACCCCUUCCCUGCGUCUCCCCCUCUCUCUGUAGUUAUCUGUGUUUCCCGGUCUAGU
rnacentral:lncRNA from 1 species